rnacentral:lncRNA from 1 species
UUCCGAUUAGCAUCGAAGAUUGAAGAGGUGAGUACAACUCUUUCCCUUUUGCAUGUGCUCAAAUCCCUAGCUUCCAUCUUCCCGUGUGCUAUUUUUUUUGGUUGUUGUCCUUUUUUCUCUUUUUAUUUGCCAUGCUCUUUUUUGGAGUCAUACGGGUUAUGCCACCACAUAUUGGUAGGGGGUUGCAUGCUCUUUAGCGCGAAAUUUAAAGGUGAGAGAGUAAUAUGGAUUUUUUGGAGUGAUAAGGGUCUAAACAUUUAUUUGAAGGUUGUGUGGUGAAGGGAUUGGUUAAACGAGGAUGUAAGGUAAAAAGAGGGUUGUGGGAACAAAGGGAUAAAUUUUGGAUCCAAUAGAAUUGGAAGAACCAACGGAGGGUGAAUACAUAUCAAGAUCAAGUGAGGGUGAGAUUGAGAGUGACUUUGAUGAUACAAUCACCUCUUGGGUACUUCAUGCAUUAAAAUUGAUUGCAUAUUUGAUGUUAAUUGUAUUAUAGAAUUUCAUUGAUUCUGGCUUGUAAUAAUUAGUUGUAGUGAAUAUGAGAGGAAAGAUAAGUGACAUGUUUUGGUGUAGAAACACCUUUGACUUUUCUUGUCAAAAGAAGGGAUGUGUAAUAGUUUCUUAUUGUAGCCUUUGCUUGUCCAAUGGUGAGAAUAUUGCGCACCUAUUUUUAGAGUGCCCUUUUGCUCAGGAUGUCUGGUGCUAACUAUCCAUCCUUCUAAGGAUGAAGCUUGAUCUUUCAUCCUUUCAAGCUUUAUUAAAAUCUCUUAAUAGGCAGUGUGGCAGCCAAAUGCUUGAUGUUUGUGUAGCUGCGGUUAUAUUUUGUUUGUGGGGUAUUUGGCAUUGUCGAAAUCAAGUUAGAUUUAGAAAUGUCAACCUCAAACCUGUUUCAAUGUUUUCAAAAAUUGCAGCUAAUGUUUGUUUGGCAGGCAAUCUUUCCAAAGGGUGCAUAAAGUCUAGAUUGGAUGAUUUCUCUAUUCUGUAUAAUGUUGGAAUAUAGAGGAAGUUUAUUAAAGCGCCUAACAUUAUUGAAGCCUGUUGGUAUCAGCCUCUUCCCAACUGGGUUAAGUGCAAUGUUGAUGGAGUUGCGAAAGCCCAGGGCAUGCGGCUCUUGGUGGUAUCUUCAGAGGCGCAAAUGCCACUACAAUGGGUAGUUUUUCCAUUUACAUUGGUAUUCACAAUGUUUUUUUGUUGGACAAGGAUUUGGCUGGAGAGUUACUCUAGAUUAGUGGUGGAUGCCAUACUAAUCCAAGUGUCAAUUCCUUGGAAGUUACAAAAUAGGUGAUCUAACUGUAGCUUGGGUAAAUACCAUGGAUUUUACAAUUUCUCAUAUAUUUUUAGGGAAGGCAAUAGGUGUGCUGAUAGCUUUAGCUUAGCUAACCAUCCAGUUCAUUCCCAUUCCUCUUGUUGGUGGGACACAAUCCCGAUUUGUGUUGGGAUUUUUUUGUCCUAACAGAAAUGGGCUUCCUCCUGAUUACUGGUUGAUUCACUGAUAGCAUGGGUUUUAGUUUGGUCCUCCAUGUUCUUGUUCUUUCUUUUUGUUUUGUUAUUAAUAUAUCUUUUGUUUGGGAG